AGCAGCCGCGGUAAUUCCAGCUCCAAUAGCGUAUAUUAAAGUUGUUGCAGUUAAAAAGCUCGUAGUUGAAUUUCGGGACCAAUUUGUUGGUCGUGCCUCGGUACGUACUGGUAUUAUUGGUUUCUCCCUUCUGAAGAACCAUGAUGCCAUUAAUUUGGUGUCGUGGGGAAUCAGGACUGUUACUUUGAAAAAAUUAGAGUGUUUAAAGCAGGCAUACGCUUGAAUACAUUAGCAUGGAAUAAUGAAAUAGGACGUUUGAUUCUAUUUUGUUGGUUUCUAGGAUCGACGUAAUGAUUAAUAGGGAUAGUUGGGGGCAUUAGUAUUCAAUUGUCAGAGGUGAAAUUCUUGGAUUUAUUGAAGACUAACUACUGCGAAAGCAUUUGCCAAGGAUGUUUUCAUUAAUCAAGAACGAAAGUUAGGGGAUCGAAGACGAUCAGAUACCGUCGUAGUCUUGACCAUAAACUAUGCCGACUAGGGAUCGGAUGAUGUUAAUUUUUAAUGACUCAUUCGGCGCCUUACG
rnacentral:rRNA from 1 species